rnacentral:rRNA from 1 species
GACGAACGCUGGCGGCGUGCUUAACACAUGCAAGUCGAACGGUAAGGCCCUUCGGGGUACACGAGUGGCGAACGGGUGAGUAACACGUGGGUGAUCUGCCCUGCACUUCGGGAUAAGCCUGGGAAACUGGGUCUAAUACCGGAUAGGACCACUGCCUACAUGGGUGGUGGUGGAAAGCUUUUGCGGUGUGGGAUGGGCCCGCGGCCUAUCAGCUUGUUGGUGGGGUGAUGGCCUACCAAGGCGACGACGGGUAGCCGGCCUGAGAGGGUGACCGGCCACACUGGGACUGAGAUACGGCCCAGACUCCUACGGGAGGCAGCAGUGGGGAAUAUUGCACAAUGGGCGCAAGCCUGAUGCAGCGACGCCGCGUGAGGGAUGACGGCCUUCGGGUUGUAAACCUCUUCCAGCACCGACGAAGCGCAAGUGACGGUAGGUGCAGAAGAAGGACCGGCCAACUACGUGCCAGCCGCCGCCGUAAUAC